GGCGGGAUUACCCGCUGAG
rnacentral:snRNA from 1 species